ACUCUACCAGUUGAAUUAUAUCUGGAACUAGAGAUAGGUGGUAUUGCAUAUGAUGCCAACAGGAAAAUUAUCGUCUUUUGUGAUACAAUGCUUAAAAUCCCAAAUGAGACCAUAACUGGUGCAUUUAUUGAUGCUUUUGUAGACUUGAUAAUUACACUAAACUGGGCACCCUGUGCAAGAUGCUCUGCAUGUGUAGGAAAUGGCAAGAGGGAUGCUGUGGUAUGAGGACAAAUGGAGCAAUCUAUGUAAUUAAGAGCCGUAUUAAACAAAAGAUGCACAAACGUAGCAAAGAACAGUAUCUAAUCAACGUGUUCGCUGCAAAAAAAUCACACCACUUUUUGUGACUAUAUAUUAAGUAAAGAUGAUAAGCCUAAAUACAUAAUAGCAUACCCAAACAGAGCAAUAGCAAAGCAAUACGUAAGGCUCAAAUUUAACAUGAGUAUUGCUUUAUUUACUCGGGGUGCUCAGUUGGGGAUUCCGUCCACUCAACACUACUGCAGGCUGUGUGGAAUUGACAUUUUUGAGAGUUUGGAACACCUCUUACUUGAUAGUGAAAGCCUAGCAGAUUUGCGUUGGAAAUACCUAAAAGAGUAUAACAGCAGUCUCAAUAUAGAUGAUCUUACCGAGAUAUGGCCUGCUUUUCUUAAAGGUUGUGAUUUUAAAUUUUAUAUAGUAAAACUUACUUUAUUGUAAGUGCACUGAAAUCAUGAAGAUAUUCACUUGAAAAUGUGUAUUAUCUGUAGAUGUUUUAAACUGCUAUUUUAAGAUUUUAAAAUUGACGGUAUUAUCAAAAUGAGAUGAACUAUUUUAUGUAUGAAAUAUAAAUUUAUGAACAAUGUUGUAAUAUUGUUGUUUUUGUGUUGUAUACACAAAGCUUGUUGCUAAAUUGGUAUUAAAUAAAUUAAAAUAAUUGAACCAUCUAGUAGCUGGUUCCCUCCGAAGUUUCCUUCAGGAUAGCUGGCACAUGGAAACCCCAGUGGUAUCUGGUAAAGCAAAUGAUUAGAGGUCUUGGGGCUGAAAUGAUCUCAACCUAUUCUCAAACUUUAAAUGGGUAAGAAGCCUGACUCGCUGGCAUGAGCCAAGCAUCGAAUGCAACUGCCCAGUGGGCCACUUUGGUAAGCAGAACUGACGCUGUGGGAUGAACUGAACGCUGGAUUAAGGCUCCAUCAGACCCUAAAAAAAGUGUUGGUUGAUAUAGACAGCAGGACGGUGGCCAUGGAAGUCGGAAUCUGUGUAACAACUCAACUAGCCCUGAAAAUGGAUGGAGCUGGAAAGUCUGGCCCAUACAAGGCCGGUGCUGAGAGCCGCAAGGGCUAAGCUGCGACAAGUAGGAGGGCCGCUGCGGUGCGCACGGAAGCCUGAGGUGGGUGGUGCCGCCGCAGAUCUUGGUGGUAGUAGCAAAUAUUCAAACGAGAACUUUGAAGGCCGAAGUGGAGAAGGGUUUCAUUUGAACAGCAGUUGAACGUGGCCAGUUGGUCCUAAGAAAGGGUCGAGUGCCAUUUGGAAGGGACAGGCAAUGGCCUCUGUUGCCCUGAGCUGAUCCAAAGAAGUCAGGUUCAGAUCCCCGAACCCGGAGUGGCGGAAAAUGGGUGCCCUUGCGGCGUCCAGUGCAGUAAUGCAAAUUAUCCCUGGGAAGAGUUCUGUUUUCUUAGUGAAGGGCGGGGCACACUGGAACGGGUUCGCCUGAGAGAGGGGCCCGAGCCCUGGAAAGCGUUGCAGCGUCCGGUGAGCUCUCUCUGGUCCUUGAAAAUCCAGGAGAAAUGGUGUAAAUUUUGCGCUGGGCCGUACCGUUAUCCGCAGCAGUUAUACAAGGUGAACAGCCGCUGGCAUGCUGGAACAAUGUUGGUAAGGGAAGCCGGCAAGUCAGAUCUGUAACUUUGGGAAGGGCUGGGUUGGUCGGCUGGGGUACAAAGGGGUGCUUGCCACGUGCUGCGGCUGAAUGAGACAUCACCCCCACGGGGUGACGCCGACUCUGGAUGUGAGCUGGGCCCUUCCUGUCGAUCUACCCAGCUCAGGUGGUCGCCUGUCUCCGUUCCUCACCCUGGAGUUUGGGGCUGACGUUCUGCCUCGGCCGAUGCAUAGCAGCUGAUUUAGAACUGGUGCGGACCAGGGGAAUCUGACUGUUAAAUUAAAAUAAAGCAUUGCAUAAGGCCCACGGUGGGUGUUGACGCGAUGUGAUUUCUACCCCAUGCUCUGAAUGUCAAAGUGAAGAAAUUCAAUGAAGCGUGGGUAAACGGCGAGAGUAACUUUGACUCUAUUAAGGUAGCCACAUGCCUCGUCAUCUAAUUAGUGGCAUGCAUGAAUGGAAGAACGAGAUUCUCACUGUCCCUACCUACUAUCUAGCGAAACCACAGCCAAGGGAACAGAUUUGGUAGACUCAGCGGGGACAGAAUACCCUGCUGAGAUACACUCUAGUCUGGCACUGUGAGGAGACAUGAGAGUUGUAGGAUAAGUGUGAGGCCCUCGGGCCGCAGGUGAAAUCCACUACUAAUCUUUUUUCACUUACCCGGUGAGGCACAGGAGCAAGCCCUGUGGGACUCUCGCUUCUGGCUCCAAGCACCCGGCGUUUGGCAAUCACGACCUGCUCCGGGGACAGUGGCAGGUGGGGAGUUUGACUGGGGCGGUACACCUGGCAAACCAUAACGCAGGCGCCCUAAAGCAAGUUCAGGGAGGACACAAACCUCCCACGGAGCAGAAGGGCAAAAGCUUCCUUGAUCUCGAUUUUCAGUAGGAAUACAGACCGUGAAAGCGGGGCCUCAAGAUUCUUCUGACUUUUUGCGUUUCAAGCAGUUGCCGUCAAAAGUUACCACUGGGAUACCUGGCUUGUGGCAGCCAACCGUUCAUAUCGACGUUGCUUUUUGAUCCUUUGAUGCCGGCUCUUAUCCUAUCAUUGUGAAGCAGAAUUCACCAAGCGUUGGAUUGUUCACCCACUAAUAGGGAACAUGAGUUGGGUUUAGACCAUCGUGAGACAGGUAAGUUUUACCCUACUGAUGAUGUGUUGUUGCAAUAGUAAUCCUGCUCGGUACGAGAGGAACUGCAGGUUCAGACAAUUGGUGUAUGUGCUUGGCUGAGGAGCCAAUGGGGUGUCAUGACCACUGGCCCCAAGGUGUCAGACC
rnacentral:rRNA from 1 species